rnacentral:sRNA from 1 species
UUGCUUUAGCGCCCAAAGAGGAUAAGAACCUCCGGGGGCAAGAGGUUCGACUCGAGCAGAGCGAGAGAACGUUGCGUCAGCAACGGCCUGCAGGGCGAGUCACGAAGUGGCGAGUCAUCCUCUAUCACCGACCA